rnacentral:miRNA from 1 species
ACAUUUCUCGAUCUUCUUUGCGUCUUCUUCUUCGUCUUCGUCUUCUUAUUCUUCUUCUUCGUUUAUCCUCUUUAUUAUAUGCUCUGCAGUCGAUCUGUGUCAGAGUCAUCCCCCAUGUCUGCGCUAUUCUUCGCCCACCACAGCCCACAACACCAACAACAACACCACCACCACCACCAGCAACACCCGGCGCCUCCAACACACCUGCCAGCGGCUACAGCAACCACCAUGUCUCAUCACCAGCAUCACCAGCACCAGCAUCAGCACCAGCACCAGCAUCAGCAUCAGCAUCAGCACCAGCACCACCACCGUCGUCGACAACGGCUCACCCCGUCGUCCAACGCCGGCGCCACCUCGAGCCUCAGCUCGCUCACCACCCCCU